UCAGACAUGUGCACUCCCGAUAUGAUCUUGAUAUUGCAAUAAUUGCAUGAGCAUUAAAAAGGACAUUUUUGUCUAUGCAGAGAGCAAGUGGAAGC